AAUGUGAAAAGUGGCGAGGAUUUUAAAUCGGCACACGUUGGAACAUAGGAUUUACUAAAGUGACAAUAGACAAAAUAUGGUGGGAUAAUACCUAGACAUAGAGUGAAAAGAAUUGAUUUCCAAUUUCGGUAACGUAAGCAGUUUACACGCUUCUGUUUGUCGCAUACGAUUUGUGAAUACAAGAUUAUUUUAUCGUGGUCUCCUUUUGAUGUUUAGCAAACCUAGCUUACGUGGUUCGCAUUUUCGUAUCACAGAACGGUAACUAAACGUAACGUUCACGUAACGUCUUUGUUUUUACGUAAGGAAGUCGAUUAUUCGAUUUCGAUUUCUUCGAUCUAGAUUUUUCAUGCAAUCUCUAUAAAUAUUAUUAUAUAUAAUUAUAAAAAAUAUAUAAUACUUUUAAUAUCCAUAAGUAGUAACACAUUGCGAAAUAGUCGCGAAAAAUGAUUCUUAAUAUUAAUUUACAAUUUUUACAGAUUUAAGAUAUAGUGAAGAGAAUAUAAAAAUGACUAAUUAUCCUUAGCGUAUUCAGUAGAUGAGAAAUUUUUAAAGGUUAAAUUUUCCAUUUAUUAUUCAUUCAUAAGUAAGAAGGGUAAUUAAUCAUCCUUGUAAACGCAAGCGAUGAUUUCAGUGUCUUGGGGUGAUCUCAGAAACAUUCAAAAGAAUUUGUUAUUCUAACGAAAAAAUUAUCAUCAUCAUCACCGUCAUUACUGGUAUUGCGUGUGAAAAUAUUUAGAGUGCAACCAUAGUUAACGAACUAUGAACACUCACGAAACGGAUGAUUUCUAAUAAAUACGUACGCUGACUGGACUUCCACGAUAAAUCUUUCACUCGAAUUUUCCAAACAGAUUUCGCCGUUCGUCCUUUCAAUUUGCGAUUUAAUUACUACUUACUGCAUUUUUCUUUAAUCACAUUAAUUUGAUUUACUAUCUUUUUAAUUAUAAUAUGGAGGCAUAAAUUGUUUUCUGUUAAUUAACUCAUAACUAGUUUCCGUUUCAAACAAUUUAAAAUUACAAAUUUCUCUAUUUCGAAUAAUUUGAUAUUAAAUCAAUUUUAUUUUCAGCAAUUUAUGAAAUACAUUAGAUUCAUUUUCAGAUUCAUAUUCUUCUUUUUCUAAUUGGUACGCACUUCUACCAAUAUAUACUUAUGAUUUUGUCAAUUACAGCUAAAAUUGAAUUCCGCAUUCUGUUAUAUUUCAAACGCAAACCAAUAUUUGUUGCAUUUAACAAUCAAUUCAAAUAAUACAGUUUUGCGGAUAACAAUACGGCUUCCGACUGUGCAUUGGCUGUUACACUAGCGUGAAGUUAUUCAAUUUAUCGAUAGAAAAGAUAUCAUAUCCAACAUGGUGAUCAAGAAAUUAAAAUCGAAGAGGGAAUUGAGAAUUGGAAUGUGAUAAUAAAAAUCUUUUUCAGUGUUCAAAUAUUACUCCAUUGUUUACUACAUAAUCUGCUACACAAUUGCAUUACUAUUACUAAAGGCAGAUAAUAAGUCGUCUGAUGGAAGAACAGUUUUAUUAAAUAAAGGCUUACUCAAUUUACUCUAUAAUCAUAGAGAGUUCCAAGUUCUGCUUUGCUUAACAAUGCUACAAUAUUGCAGAAGCGUCGUUGCAAUUAUCCGAAAAGUGGGGAAACACUCUUUGGUAUUGUUCCAAGCGUCUUCGUUAGCAAUAACAAACUGGUUAUAUUCCGUUUCGACAGAAUUAUUUGUCAAACGCAAAUUGAAAACAUCGUAUAGAACAAACAGCUACAAUGAAACUUCUUAACUUCACUUCAAAAUUGAAGAGUACAUAAAUUCUCAGAUGAACGAACAUAUUAGUAACCUGAAAGACCAUAAAUGAUAAACAGUAUAGUUCUAGCUUCAAAAUUGGAACCACAGAUCUCAAAUUAAAGCAACAUACUUUCAAUCACGGAUCUCGAUGCCUGUGCGGUACUGAACGAGUUACCGACUUUCCUUCGUUGAAAGAAUCUUGCCAAAACGAUGCCGCGAUCGUACUACUGACAUCAUUCUGAUUACAUUAUGCUGUACAUACGAUUUACAUCGCGGAAGAUCGCGUGCCGGACACGGGCUGUGGUCUUUCUGCUUUCUUCGUCGUUCCCGCAAUGGAAACGGGCCCAUAGACUGUGAAAUCCAAUACAUACACCGAGUGCAAAAUGUGGAAUUACAGGAUGCAAUAAUGGCCCAGUAAUGGCAGAGAACAAUAGAAAAGUUUCACAUCGAUAUCUUCUUUCAUUUUCUUUCACAAAAGUUGGCUAAAAAUUCCUGGGAAUUUCGUAAAAAUUAUUAAAUGAUUCGCAUCAACAAAACUUGCUUCUUGGUUUUGAUCAAGUAAAUAUUACUUAUUCAUCAUAUUCAAUUUUAUUUGUUCACAGUAAAAUAAUAAAACGCAGUUAGUUAUAAUUAAAUCUACUCUGAAACUAACUGAAAUAACUAAAUCUAAUAUUUAGAGAAUAAAAAUAAUAAAUGAAACAUAAAAAUCUAGCAUAUUUGCAAAAAGUACAAAAAUAUUAUUAAAUAUAAAGUUUUAUGAUAUAUAAUCUUAAGCGAGCAAUAUUUAAAUAACAGUGCAGAAGUAAAAGAACAUUAUUCAAAUAACUAAUUUUCAUUCCUACUGUGUAUACGGACGUUCGUAAUUUACAAUCGACUCGCAUUGCAUCACAGUAUUAUGCGAAUCGGAUUCCCGUGACGGCUUUCUGAUCAAAAUUUCGGUCACCGUACAGCGAACGUCGUAAAAUCGGUGCGGCCUGGUGUUACACAAGCCUUAAAGCAGUUUCUUAUGAGCUGUUUCGAAGGAACAGGCCACUAGACGCUUGGCGGAACUCUCGCACUGAUUUAUUUAUUAUCAGCGAGUUCUUUUUCUUGCAGCAGAAAGAGCACUUUAAAUAUCGUUUGAGAGGAAAACUUUUCCUCGUUCUGAGAAAGAUAUUACUUGAAUCGAGAAGCUUUGUUGUGUUCAUAUGAAAAAAAGAAAAGGUAAAGAAAGGUAGAAUGCUACUGAAGCGCAUUUUGUUGUGGAAUUGAUGACAGGUGAAUAUGAAGGAUACAGUUCAUUAAUCCUUGUAUUUACAUUGUGUUCAUGAAUUAUUAAACCUGAAUUGAUGGACUGAAUUUCAUCACGGACUCCGCAACCGUGUUGAUACAUAUUUCGAUAUCAGAACAUCGAUCACGUAGUAUGUCUUUUGUCAGUUUAUGUAUAGUGGUUUUCACGCAGAAAAUUCAUAAUUUAAUAGCUUCAAAUUUUUAUAGAUUUCACCUGUGAGACGAUUUAUAAUAAGUAAUUUAAAUACUCUGCAUUAACUAAUUUCGAUGCACAUAGUCCUAUGCAGAUUAAAUUUAUUAAUAUUUUCAGAAAUCAUAACCAGAUCAAGAUCUCUUAUCUGCUCCUCUUGUGCAACAUUUAUGACCACAAAUUAUCCCCACCGCUUUUUCGAUCACUUGAUUUCAAGCUGUGGCCAUUUAUGGGAAUGGUAUUAUACGUAUGUAUUACUUUAUUACAUUCAAUGUAAUAUUACUUGAGGUUUAACUGAAAGGUUUAGAUUCAACAAAAGAUAUACCGAAUCAAAUCUCUAUCAUUCAUGUUCAAUCUAGUACAAAGAUAAUUAUUAUAUACAUACAUCGAGUACGCGUAUACCAGGUCUAUUCCUAACUGGACACGUCCAAAUUGUAUUUUUUUUUUGGAAACGAGACCUUAAACGAUUAUUUUCACAUUUAGAAUAACCUCCUGUUAAUUGUUUACUCAUAUUUAGUUGAUAAUUAGCCAGAUUUUCAUGCGAUAAAGAAAUUAUGAAAUUUGAUUUUCUUGAAAACGAAGCCACAAAUGAAAAAGAUUUGUUCUAUAUUUUCGACUUAUUUUUUCAUGUACUCACUCAAUACUAAGACAAACUGUAUAUCUUCUAACUGAAAAUUUUCCUAAAGACUACUUUCAAGAGAUGAUCGUGCAUUCUCAUGAAAAAUGUGUACACGACGUACGUAUCGACUACCAUGGCAACUCAGGUAUUAAUUUUAAACAAGUUUUCAAUAAUGAACUUCACGAUCUACAUAGUUUGUGCCGCCUACUUCUCUUUUUCCAACACCUAACGUGCAUCGGCACGCUUUCGUGGCUCCCUCUGACGAGAAAUCGAUCUGCCGGAUCCCCAAUUGAAAAAAGCUCUUCCUUUCACUAUCGAAGAAAGCCAAUACACGCAUAGAAGAUCCUCCUACCAACGAUCUUUCCCUCGAUUCAUACGGGCGUUCCCUGUAAUUCUCUCGUUAGCCGAUUGGACGACUUUCUCUCUCCUUUCUUCUGUCAGAAUUUUCCGAGGUGCACCUUCAACACGGCCGAGAAGUUGGCUGAUACGUAUCUGAUCUCCUACGUGUCUUGGAACUUUAUGAAACUCCUUUUCUUUCUUCACUAUUAUACAUAACCUUUUUCGAAAAAUUUCAAUGUUAUGGAAAUGCUGAGAAAGUUAUGUUUAUGUAGUCAUCGCUUAUUAUAGUUAUUUCUUUACUAAUUUUCUUAUGCAUAUUACAUUUCGUUAGCAUCAUAUAGGAGAAACUUACUAUUAUUAAUUUUCUCAUCAUUGUUAUAAUAAAAAUGAAAGAACUAGAUUUAUUUCAGUCUUAAGUCUUAGGUUUCUUGUCUUGAUAUUACGUAACAGAGACGCAUUGAAAAUUUUACUUACAGCGAAUAUAACUAUCCAUUUCUCUCGAUAGAAUGAAAAAAUUUAUUUACUCAUAGCUUUUUUCUCUCGGAAGCAACCUAAGAUAUACCGUAAGAUGUAGGAUUAAUCCGAAAGAUUAUCAAUCGACGAGGUCAGACACAAACGCUGGAGUUGGAAACGAGGUCGUGCCACCUUUCUCUCAUUUCGAGAGAAGUGGCCGCUUCUGCGAAGGCGCGGUCGACGGAUUGAUCUCGAAAAGAGCACAUUAGGAACACAGCUUCUUUUCCUACGAAAUGUAUUGAGAAAGGGAGCAAACCUAAGUUUGUUUGAGGAUUAAGUUUUAAAUUUUAAUUGUUAAUGAAAUCAAUCGCUUCAUGUAGAGUAAGAAUUAAGUAUAUAAACAUAAAUCUUAGUACUGUUUAUAUUCUGUCAUUU